AUGGGAAACGAGUUCCAAACGUGUCCGGUGACUCCUCAUAGUGAAGAAUACCCAAGAAAUCUGGCGAAUCUUAUUGCUAAAUCCAGGUCAAUUGCCUCCUCUCUCGAAUCACGUAUUGGAACUCUUCUUCUUCCUCCUUCUUGUUUUCUACUUUUGAUUCCGCUUCCAGUCGCUUCCUCAGCCUUCUAUGAUUCAUAG